GACUGUAAAUAUAGAUUAUUAAUUGUCAUAACUCUUUACAUUAAAGAGAAGGCAUAUUUUGAACCGGGCUCUAUUUUUUUGUGCAUAUUUGUCAAGUUUGUGUCAAACAUUGGGCAAACGAUACCCCCUUGAACGGUUGUUGCUAAGUAACGGGAGAGACGCCCAGUCAACAUCUGAGCGCAGGAUGGCUGAGGAAGAAGUUGAGAAGAUUAUUCGUCACACCAAGCGUAUUUUUAUCAACAACUUUGACUCCUAUGCCUCGAAAUGUAUCGCAAAGUUCUUGUCUGCCUGUGUAGUGGGGGCGUCCCUGGUGGAAACUGACGAGCCAGAGGUGGAGGAAGGGGAAGAGAGGCUGUCCAAAGAUGAGCAUCCAAAAGUCAAAGAGGGAACCUUUCAAAUUGUCGGGACUGUUGCAAACAAAAACGAAAGAAGACCAAGUUAUGUGUUGGAUGAAUAUUUUCAACUGAAAAGGGAAGAACUCCUGGAGCGCCUGAUGGAGUGUGAUAUCAUAAUUUACAACAUCACCGAGGAUGCUGACCAGAUGGACGAGGCCUCUUGGGCAAUCUCAGCCCUUCAUGCUGAGAUGGCCAGGUUCAGUCAGCCAAAGAUGUUCAUCCUCAUUUCAACUGUAAUGACCUGGGCACUCAGCAAGCCUGUCGAUGCGGAUGACCCUGAGAUUCCAUUCACUGAGGAAGACUACAGGAGAAGAAGAGCCCAUCCCAACUUCAAAGAGCAUAUCAACGUUGAAAAACUUGUGGUCAAAAUGGGCAAAACGAAAAGUUCAUUGCUCUCCACAUACGUAGUUGCCUCAGGAGUUCAGUAUGGAAUGGGAGAGCAAGUCUUCCACUUCUUCUUCAAGACAUCUUGGUUGGGAGACUUGCCCAAAGUCCCUAUCUUUGGAGAAGGCACCAAUGUCAUUCCUACUAUUCACAUCAAUGACCUUGCAGGAGUGAUCCAGAAUGUAAUUGACCACAAGCCAAAACCACAUUACUUAGUCGCUGUGGAUGAUUCCAAGACCACUAUCGAUGACAUUGUAAAGACAAUAGCCGAUGUGGUGGGGCCAGGAAAGACCAAGAGAGUGCCAAAAGAGGAUGCUUUUCUCACUCGGGAUUUGAGACAAAUGGACAUCGAUGCUCUUUUUGUCAACCUUCGGAUUGAGGCUGUCUACCUGAAAGAGAACUUCAACAUCCACUGGGUGUGUGAGUCUGGUCUCAUAGACAACAUUGACCGUGUUGUGGAGGAAUACAAGCAAACCAGGGGCCUGCUGCCCAUCCGAGUGUGUAUCAUGGGCCCUCCAGCAGUGGGAAAGAGCACAGUAGCAGAGAGGAUCUGUAAACACUACAAACUGCACCACAUCAGACUCAAGGAAACCAUCACUGAGACCCUUGCACACCUGGAGUCUAUCAUUAGGAUGGAGGACGGAGAGACUGAGGCAGAGGAUUCUGCCACCUCAUCAGAACUCCUGGAGACUUUGAAGGAGAACAUGGAUCAAAAUGGAGGUCGACUGGAUGACCAGUAUGUGAUCAGGAUCAUGAGAGACAAGCUGAAGUCAAAGCAGUGCAGGAACCAGGGUUUUGUCCUGGACAGCUUUCCCAAGACAUAUGAACAGGCCAAGGACCUGUUCUAUGCUGAUGAUGAUGAGCCAGAGGAUAUGAGGUCAAAGAUCCCUCCAUUCAACAAGAAGAUAAUUCCAGAGUUUGUGUUCUCCCUGGACACCUCCGAUGCAUUCCUGAAGAACCGUGUCCUGAACCUCCCGGAGAGCCUGGUGGAGGGAACGUCCUAUUCCCAGGAGCAGUUCCUGCGCCGCCUUGCCAGGUUCCGGGAGAGCAACGUGGAGGACGAAACCGUCCUCAACUACUUUGAAGAGCUAGAUAUUCACCCGGAGCACAUUGAGAUCACCAGCAGUGACGACCAGCAGUACCUGGUGGUGACAGAGAGGAUCAUCAAGUCAGUGGGGAAGCCUAAGAACUACGGCCCCACCAGCCAGGAGCUGGAGGAGGAGGAGAGGAGGAGCGCAGACCACCGGCUGAGAACGGAGGCCCAGAAGAGGGCUGACACAGAGAGGUGGGAGACAGAGGAGGCCCAGCAGAGAGCAGCCCGCUGGGAGGAGUGGAGUAAGUGUCUGGAGGAGGUGAAGAAGCAGGAGCAUGAUCUCCUGGAGGUCCAGUCUGUUCCCCUGAGAAACUAUCUGAUGAAGAACGUCAUGCCCACUCUCACCCAGGGCCUGAUCGAGUGCUGCAAAACCAGGCCUCAGGACCCUGUUGAUUUCCUGGCAGAAUAUCUCUUCAAGAACAACCCCCAAGUGGAGUGAAAUGGGACUUGUCUUCAAGAUUUAUAACCUCAUAUCAGUACCAUCUACAUUUCAGAAUUACCAUUACUUAAAAGCCCUGAGAACUGGAUGAAAGCCUGACUGAAGCCAACAGCUAAUUAACAUGUUAAUUUGCGUAAUGAACUUGGGUGCGCUUGGUAACUAAAAAGUAGACCCAGUCGGGUCAUAAUGACUUUGAUUUGGCUUGUGAUUUCAAAGGAUAAAUGUUAAAAAUGGCA